GUGAACUGAGGAGGAUAGAGGGAGGGGCAAGCUCAUAGCCGAGCUCGGUGGAGGUUGCAGGGAACUGCCUUGAGCCUGACCACCUAGUGUGGUAACCUUCCUCGUCUCUGUCUUCAAAUAAUGCUUUUUAGGGAAAGAGACAUAUGUCUAUUUUACUUAACUAUAAAUCCAGAUUAUCUGGACAGAUUACCACAAGAACCCCUAUCUGAUGGAGUUUAGAAUACACUACCCCAAAAUAGGGCACCUUGGCAUACUGAAUAUUUUAAGGAAAAAACGUUCCUUCCCAAAGGAAUUUGAGAAAUGACAGCUGCAGGAGGGACCGUCUGACCUCUCCCCACCCCUGCAGUGGGUCAUAGGACCCUCCUGUGAGAGGCACCCUCGUCUCCAAAGACGGAGGGAGCCGGGAGGAGACUGAGCACACAGGCCUUGCCGUGGUUCCCACCGACCACCCUCAGCUCACUCCCCUUGUGCUGUCACGCUUCCCCACGACCUCUGCGUCCUCAUCCAACCUAGCAUAGAAGGCGCUCAGGCGUCACUGUCUCUUCAGGUCUCCCCGUCUCUCCGGGUCUCCACUGUCUCUCUGGGUCUCCACCGUCUCUUCAGGUCUCCCCGUCUCUUCAGGUCUCCCCGUCUCUCCGGGUCUCUGCUGUCUCUCCAGGUCUCUGCUGUCUCUCCAGGUCUCUGCUGUCUCUCUGCUGUCUCUUCGGGUCUCUGCUGUCUCUCCGCUGUCUCUCCGGGUCUCCGCUGUCUCUCUGGGUCUCUGCUGUCUCUCCGCUGUCUCUCCGGGUCUCUGCUGUCUCUCCGGGUCUCUGCUGUCUCUUCAGGUCUCCACUGCCUUAGGAAGGCUUCCAUAUCACAUGAGACUUAUUAAGUAAAUCUGUGUAAUUUUCUCUUGUUAAGCUUUUUGUCUAAUUUACAGGGCUCCAGCUGAAGAAUUUAGGAGGGUAGGGAAAAGGGUAUAUUGUUUCCCUCCCCUGCUGUUUUCUUGAUUGUGAACUUUGACCAUUAGCAGGAACACAUUUGAAAUUAAAAUUUGAGAGAAAAAUUCGAAUUUUGCAGGAUGAGCUCUGUCCCACAGAAACAUACUGUGAGCUAUGUAAUUUUAAAAUUUCUGGCAGUCACAUUUUUUUAAAAGGCGACAUUAAUUUUAAUAUUGUAUCUGACUCAACACAUCCAAAAUAUUAUCACUUCAGCGUUUAUUAAUUGAAUACAGUACUUUGUUUUUUUGGUAUUUUUGUUUGGUUUGGUGGAGACAGCAUCUCGCUCUGUCACCCAAACUGGAGUGCUUGGGGCCAUCAAUGCUCACUCAGCCUCGGCCUCCCGGGCUCAAGCCAUCCUGCACUAUAAAGGUCUGAGUGAUGACAGAGCGGCCACCGGUGUCAUCUGAGGCAUGGGGAGGUAGCUCAUUCAGGGCCACACCAGCAGUUCCUUUUUAGGAUGUGUGAAGAUGACUGUAAAGCAAAGGGGAAUAAGGUGUGUAAAAGGUUAUGCCAGUGGUGACUGUCAGCCACACUUCUUGCCUCUUGCUUGUCCUUUCAAGUGCAGAGCUGUGGCCCACCCAGAGAUGACAUCUCCCAUUCCCCCAUGCCCAGGUGGGGCCACAUGAAGUAGUUCUUCCAGCUGGACGUGGCUCGUGUCUCUUCUGGGUGUUCUCCAGGCCCGGGGGGUGGCAGAUAAAGGACAGAGGGAGACAGUCCCGAGCCUCACAGGCUGGCAUGUUGCCUGCAAGCCAGGACACCUGAACUGUCCUAUGAGACCGAAGCUCUGGCUUUCAGUCACUGAAAUUCGGGGGGUUAUUUGCCCAGCAGUUAGAAGUGCCCUGAUUCAGCAGUUACAUCUGCUUCAUGGAAUCAGGCUUGAAGCACAAAGAAGGAUGAAAUGAACAAGGCCCGUGGGGAUCUCACACAUUUAGAUAUGUGAUGGGGAAAAUGCAUUUUGGAUGGUCCAUGACUGUCCAGGUUUCAAAUAUUCUAGUCUACUGGAGACCUCACGUUCACUUUUUCUUUUUUUUUAAAUUAAUAUGGAGCAACCUGGCAGAAUGUAGUGUGUAUUUAAAUCACCAGACUUCUGAAGGUGCCUUUGAGGACAUGGAGUUCUCUUCCAAUUCUCUCCCUUCUGCAAAAAGAUCGUGAGACAGCGCAGGGUGGAGUGCUGUGGAGACUAUGAGCUGCCUUUGUCCCUGAGAUGUGAGAAGAAUGAGGAUUGGCUUUAAGGAUGAGAGGUCCUUUUGAGUAAAGAACAUUCUGUGAACACAGCAGGCGGUGCACAAAGGUUGGGGUUUGAAUGAAGGGGGUGGCUGAGGAUCUUCCAGGCACCUGUGUUUUGGGAUUAGCCGUACUUGGAAGCCCGGUGGAAGCUGCUUUUCUAUUUAUGAAUCAAAUUCUCUUUCACUCUGAAUGUAAUUGUAAUUGCCAAGCAGCUGUAUCUUAAUUUAGGGUCUUCAAUUGGUAAUGUUUCCUAAAGCUUUAAUUGUAAUUUUCUUUGUUCCUUGGCCUUUCAAAUAUCUAAUAAUAUCUAAAUAAAUUAUUGAAAGUAGAAGAGUUCUCUA